rnacentral:rRNA from 1 species
UACGUAGGGUGCAAGCGUUGUCCGGAAUUAUUGGGCGUAAAGAGCUCGUAGGCGGUCUGUCACGUCGGCUGUGAAAACCCGAGGCUCAACCUCGGGCCUGCAGUCGAUACGGGCAGACUAGAGUUCGGUAGGGGAGACUGGAAUUCCUGGUGUAGCGGUGAAAUGCGCAGAUAUCAGGAGGAACACCGGUGGCGAAGGCGGCACGCUGGGUCCCUACUGACGCUGAGGCGCGAAAGCCAGGGGAGCGAACGGG